rnacentral:rRNA from 1 species
UACGGAGGGUGCAAGCGUUAUCCGGAUUCACUGGGUUUAAAGGGUGCGUAGGUGGGUUGGUAAGUCAGUGGUGAAAUCCCCGAGCUUAACUUGGGAACUGCCAUUGAUACUAUCAGUCUUGAAUACCGUGGAGGUCAGCGGAAUAUGUCAUGUAGCGGUGAAAUGCUUAGAUAUGACAUAGAACACCAAUUGCGAAGGCAGCUGGCUACACGAGCAUUGACACUGAGGCACGAAAGCGUGGGGAUCAAACAGG